GAAUAAAACUGGUUUUGCCAUUAACUAGCUUGGUUUCUUUGAAAAUGAAGAUACAGAAAAAAAAAUCUGUCAACAUCUACUCUAAACAAAACAAAUUUGGUAUAAGAAUAUUAAUAUUUGCAAAAAUAUAAUUUAAUGCAAAAAGAGGGAUAUGAUACUAAGAUAAGCAAUUGUCUACCAGGAGGAUAGAAUCAUCAUGUACUUGUAUGUAUUGCCCCCUUAACCCCCCAAAAAACAACCUUGAAAUAUGUUAAUCCCCAAACUGGGAGAAUUUAAGACAUCUCUCAGAUAAUGAUGGAUCAAGCAUUUAAAACAUUAAUAAGGAUAAUGAAUAAUUGAUUUGAACAACAAGAAGGGGAAACUGAAGCACAGAGCUUCAGUGAAAUAGCUUGUCCAAUAUACUAGUGACAGCAGAGAUUCAAACCCAGGAAAUCUUUUGUUGCCAGCCUGUGGCUAAAGUGGAAUUAUGAAAAUGUAUUUACAUAAAAGUAUUAAAAACAAGUCAACUAAGCAUUCAAUAUUCAACUCAACAAGUUUGAAAAUAGAUAAACCCCCCAAAGAGGAAGCAAACAAAAACUCUAAACACCCAAAGCUGAUUCUUUGAAAAGCCUAUAAAAAUAGGUUUCUUUAAAUAUUGACACAGAAACUCACAGAGAAUGAAAAUAUGAGAGAAAGAGAUGUGAGUAAAGAAAGGGACAUAACUAGAGAAAUAUCAGAGACUUUUAAAAUUAGGGAUGAAUAGUAUAAAGAAUUUUUUACCAAUAAACUGAAAAGUUAAAGUGUAUUUUUUUCUAGAACACGAAAGUUAACAAAGUUAAAAAAAAAAAAAAAAAAGAUGAACCAAUACCCAAUAAAGAAAUGGAAAGUACUCAGGACUCUUCCAACACUCCUUUUUUCACUUACAAAAAGAGAAGGUACAGAAAAUUUUAUGGUGCAUUUAAAAAAACCUUUAAAGAAAUGAUAAUCCAAAGUUUUAAGAGAUUUACAAUUACAAGCAGAAAAAGGAAGGGAAGGAAAGCCAUGAACUUUAUUUUAUGAAGGUAUAACUACCUUUACACCAAAAUGGGACAAGAGCAAUACAAGAAAAGGAAAGAUGAAAUUUUUCGAGGUAAAAUUAACAAAGUGGUCUUUAGUCUAAGAUCCAGUGAAAUGUGUUUGCUAUGUGGAAGUAGAAGGCAGAGAGAAUCUUAACUCAAUGAAACUGCUGGGUUCUCCUCACUGACUAGUUUCCCAGAUUAUGAAGAAUGAGGCAUCAUCAUCCUGCAUCAUCAUCCAAUGCAAAGGUAGAGUGGAACAUGCCUGAGCACCAUUAUAACCUCACUGGGAUACCACACAGUCAGUACUCUACAGGUAUUAUGUGUUAAAAAAACACUAAAGAAUGGAGACAAUGGAGAAUGUUGGAGAGGCAAUAUGAAAUCAGUUGAAAGAAGUGAACAUUUGUUAAUAACAUGAGUACAAGCAGAUGGAAAGAGAACUGCACUGAACAAUUCUCCAAAUAUAGAAACCAUCUACUGGAGAAAGUCAGACAAACAUGGCAUGUCCAAAAAUCUGUUUCCAGUUUAAAGCUUAUCUUUUCAUGGAGUAAGGAUGUUCGCAUGAUUCAUUUCUUCAUUUAAAAAAAAAAAAAAAACCUAAGGUGCCAGUAUGAAGAUGACUCAACGGAAGUAAGGAUUCCAGGGCAGUGUCAGAUCUGAAAAAGCAAUCCCAGCACCAGUUCCUUGUCUCACAGUGGCUUGGCAACUUCACCUGUCUCCAAAGUAGAGAGGAAAAUCAAGUCAAACAGGCCUUCCUGAAACAUGGCGUGAAACACCACAUGUCACCUUUGUUCCUGGAGGAGACACUAAACAAGUACUUGUUGAGAAGAAGUGAUCCUGAAGAGAAAGCUGCAUAAAGGAUUUCCUAGUUGAAAAGGCUCUGGAAUCAAUGUCUAGAAUUUGGAUCUCAACUCUGAAGUGCAUCAGCUGUGUGACCUUAGGUCCGAGCAGCUCACAUGACCAGGUGCUUAACAAGAACACACUCCCCAGGUGUGGUGCACCUUAUUGCCUCCAGCGUCCCAGCCACUUAAUUUCCUGGGUGUGCAGCAGGAGCGCCAUCUCAGGAACUCUCGGCUGGAUUUGUGACUUGCUUGAAGAAACAGAAUGUGAUGGAUGUGAAGCUGUGUGACUUUCAGCUUUUUGAAAAAUAAUUAAAAGUCCUGAUUUAGAGCAUUUGCCAAUUUCUAAGAAUCCACCUGAAAUGCAGAAGACACGGGAGAUGUAGGUUUGAUCCGUAGGACAGGAAGAUCCCCUGUAGAGGAAAUGGCAACACACUCCGGUGUGCCUGCCUGAAAAAUCCUGUGGACAAUGGAGCCUGGUGGGCUAUGGUCCAAAGGGUUGCAAAGAGUUGGACAUGACUAAAUAACUGAGCACGUGGUGUAAGUGCUGCCAGCAUGGCUGAUUUCAAGCUACCAAUGUGGUAUCACAGAGCAUGUGGUUGGAAAGAGAUAGCAUAUAUGAUCAAUGGGCUCCAGCAUACCAUCGCUUCCAGACUUACUCCUUAAGAGAUCUGUCAGCUUCCAUAUUUGCUUUCUUGGAAUCCAGUUGACAUGAAGGAUCCUUGGGCUAGGCUCUUGAAUGAUGAGAGGCCAAAUGGAGAGAAAGGCCAUAUGGAAAAGAAACAAAGCCUUAGGCGAUCCAUCCCUGGCUGGGCUCCCAGCUGAGUGCAGCUGCAUGCGUGGCCUCAGCCAACAUUUCAUGACAUGAAAGACCACACAGCCAACUCACAGAAAUGUGAGACAUAAUACAUUGUUGUAGAUUUAAGCCACUACAUUUUGGACUAUUUUAAUUAGUCAGCAAUAGGUAAUUGGAAACAUGUAUUGCCAAGCCAUUGUAAAAUAAUUUUCACAUUUUACUCCUAUAUUAGCAAUGUGGCUCAGCUGGUAAAGAAUCCAUCUGCAAUGCGGGAGACCUGGGAUCGGUCCCUGGGUUGGGAAGAUGCCCUGGAGAAGGGAAAGGCUACUCACUCCAGUAUUUUGGCCUGGAGAAUUCCAUGGACUGUAUAGUCUGUGGGGUCUCACAGAGUCAGACAUGUCUAAGCAACUUUCAUUUUCACUAGCAAUGUACAAGCGUACAUUGUCCUUUGCACAUUAGCCUGCACUUUGCAUUAUCGUCACCAGGUUGAUAAGUUAAAAAAUGUACUUUGCAGUUUAGCUUGUAUUCUUUGAAAAUGAACUUGAACAGUUUUUCAGAUGCUUAUUGGCUGUAAAUUGUCUGUGCUCUCUGUCCGUUUUUCCCUUGAUUUGUAAGGGCUCUUUAUAUUUUAAUAGGGCUUCUCAGGUGGCUCAAUGGUAAAUUAUCUGCCUGCAGUGUGGAAGACAGAGGUUUGAUACCUGGGUCAGGAAUAUCCCCUGGAGAAGGAAAUGGCAACCCACUAUAGUAUUGUUGCCUGGGAAAUUCCAAGGCAGAGGAGCCUGGCAGGAUGUAGCCUAUGGGAUCACAAACGAAUCAGACAUGACUUAGCAAGUAAACAAAAACAAUAUAGUUCGUUAACAAUUUUGUGUAUAGUAAAAACAAAUGGACAGUAUUUUGCAAUGUAUGUGGCUACCUAGUUUGCUUGUAUGCUCUUCGCAGUAAAAAGCUUAAACUAUUUGUACGAAAAAAUGAUGCCUAUGGCAAUUUUCUGCAAGUUUCUUAAAACAUGAUCAUUUUCAAUUU